AGCGACGCCGCGUGCGGGAAGAAGGCCUUCGGGUUGUAAACCGCUUUCAGGAGGGACGAGGCCACUCGGGUUAAUAGCCCAGAGGGUGACGGUACCUCCAGAAGAAGCCCCGGCUAACUACGUGCCAGCAGCCGCGGUAAUACGUAGGGGGCUAGCGUUGUCCGGAUUUAUUGGGCGUAAAGAGCGCGUAGGCGGCCGAGUAAGUCCGACGUGAAAUCUGGAGGCUCAACCUCCAGCGGUCGUUGGAAACUACUCGGCUAGAGUCCGGAAGAGGAGAGUGGAAUUCCUGGUGUAGCGGUGAAAUGCGCAGAUAUCAGGAAGAACACCGAUGGCGAAAGCAGCUCUCUGGGACGGUACUGACGCUGAGGCGCGAAAGCGUGGGGAGCGAACAGGAUUAGAUACCCUGGUAGUCCACGCCGUAAACGAUGGGUGCUAGGUGUGGGCGGUGUCGACUCCGCCCGUGCCGAAGCUAACGCAUUAAGCACCCCGCCUGGGGAGUACGGCCGCAAGGCUA
rnacentral:rRNA from 1 species